rnacentral:lncRNA from 1 species
UUUCACAAACUCGAUUGAGGCUUGAAGCUAGACUACCUGUUAUAUCAGCAGCUAUAUAAGCAUUGUUGAGGUUACUUUUGAUCAUAAAAGAAAUCUCAGUUCGAGUGGAGAAAUCCUCUUCUGUUCAUCGCAAUGAAGAUAUUUUCACUUCUCUUCGUUCUCUUCGCCAUCUGCUUUAACGUGUUAAUUGAAGCAGCUAGACUUGAAUCAAAUCCCAUCAUACAAACUGAUCUCGAGGGUUCUGAAUCGAUACCAUACGGAAGAUAUCCAAGUCGCAACCGCGGCCAUCCUUACCUCGGGACAAGGCACACGCACCAUCGCGUUGUCGGAUGACGGGACAAGUUUCUCCAAUUUGAUGAGAGUGAUAAUCUUUCUGGACAAACCUGAUUUAACUCAUAGUUGCAGGGAAAUUUACUGACCUUAUUUUUGUGUCCUGAAUCUUUGAAACGCAACAAUUUUAAUGACUCACGAAGAUACGUACUGAAAUGUACUUUAUAUCUUCACGUUUCAUUUUUUUUUCAUGUGCUAACGUUUAUAUCGUGAAACCUGCGAAAAAUGUAUUCGGACUUGAAACCACGAUAAAAUGUUAAACGAAUUGCGUAUUCCCAAUUGAAAGCCUUUCAAGGGUAACUUCAGGGUGAUCCAGUAUUAAUCGGCAUGUAAUACGAUAUUGUGCAUUAAAUAUACACUUCCUGCAUUGACACUUGCUUUUAUUGCGCCAAGUUUCCCCGGCAGUGGAAGGACUAGCUAACCUUUCGUACAUUUGAAUCGCCGAGUAAAACAGAAUGUGUGGGAAAUACAUACGGUCGUUUCCUGUUCUUUAGAGUUUGGUGUUUCCCUGAGAAGUAAAAUCCUACAAAUCAAAAGUAGGACAGACGACGAAAAAAAUCGACAAAUUUCAUAGGCGAAAAAAAAAAUCCAAUAACCAAUGAAUAAUCAUUAAAUUCCCGAUAAAUCUUUACGCUUUCCCACUAUUCCUGGUACAUCGGUGAUUCAAUUCCGACAAAUAAUUGCACAUGUUUUAGCCAUCCGUCGUACAGUGUCAAGGUAAAAGCUCGAGACGAUGGGAUUUUCGCACAAAAUGGUCGAAACAUUUACCGCGCGUCAUUAUGAAGGACAAGACCGUUUAUGACUUUAUGAUAAUGCCCUUGAUCUGUUUAGAAGGUCUCAUAUUGUUUACUGUACGUGUUUCACAAUACAUCUGAUAACGUUUUAUAGUUAGGCCCAUCUUAGCACAAUCCGGUCCAGACGAAAGGAAACUCCUUCUACACCUGAAAGAUUUCCCCUCCGGGAACUCUGUCCAGGAUAAAUAAGCCGUGGAGGGCCUUAAGCGUGUCAUAUAGAAAGUCAAAGCUGUUGAACGAACACUAGCUAAAAAAAAAUCUCUCACUCAAUCGCAAUGAAGGUCGUUUCCCUACUCUUGGUUUUCGCCAUUUCUUGUUCGGUGAUCAUGGCAGCACCCCAGAACUUUGAAGCCAACCCCAGCAUAUAUGCAAAUAUCGCCAACGUGCAUGCUAAUAUUGCUGAUCUAGACACUGCUGAAGCCAUACCCGGCCGCAGAUACUACACCGGUAGCCGCACUCGUUCAAGAAUGUCCGGUCGCGGUAUGCAUCGAGGAUAAAUUGCUACGUGAUCUAUCUAUCGUGUUCUUCUGUUUCGCACUUCUUCGUACGACGUAAUUGGCUCAGCUCAAGUCAAUUUACUUGAUAUUACGCAAUAUUCCCGACAAACGUUUAUGCCUUGGCAGAAAGAUCGUCUAUGUUGUAAUUAUUUGUAUGCGUUGUCGUGAACGCAGCCUUAAAUUAAUGUCUUAAUAAACGUUUAUCAGUAA